GACGAACGCUGGCGGCGUGCUUAACACAUGCAAGUCGAACGGAAAGGCCCUGCUUUUGUGGGGUGCUCGAGUGGCGAACGGGUGAGUAACACGUGGGUAACCUGCCCUUGACUUUGGGAUAACUUCAGGAAACAGGGGCUAAUACCGGAUAGGAGCUCCUGCUGCAUGGUGGGGGUUGGAAAGUUUCGGCGGUUGGGGAUGGACUCGCGGCUUAUCAGCUUGUUGGUGGGGUAGUGGCUUACCAAGGCUUUGACGGGUAGCCGGCCUGAGAGGGUGACCGGCCACAUUGGGACUGAGAUACGGCCCAGACUCCUACGGGAGGCAGCAGUGGGGAAUAUUGCACAAUGGGCGGAAGCCUGAUGCAGCAACGCCGCGUGCGGGAUGACGGCCUUCGGGUUGUAAACCGCUUUCGCCUGUGACGAAGCGUGAGUGACGGUAAUGGGUAAAGAAGCACCGGCUAACUACGUG
rnacentral:rRNA from 1 species